UGCAUGCUUUUACAGUAUGGAAAUUGGUGAUUUAUAAUAACUUAGCAAAUCGCAAAGUGAAAACAGGCGAUAAAUCAUUCAAGUUUCUGACCUAUCAGCUUUCGACGGUAUGGUAUUGGCUUACCGUGGCAGUGACGGUUAACGGGGGAUUAGGGUUCGAUUCCGGAGAGGGAGCCUGAGAAACGGCUACCACAUCUAAGGAAGGCAGCAGGCGCGCAAAUUACCCAAUUCUAACAGUUUAAGAGAGGUAGUAACAAGAAAUAACAAUACAAGGCAAUUAAAAUGCUUUGUAAUUGGAAUGAUAGAAAUUUAAACCCUUUUUAAAGUAUCAAUUGGAGGGCAAGUCUGGUGCCAGCAGCCGCGGUAAUUCCAGCUCCAAUAGCGUAUAUUAAAAUUGUUGCAGUUAAAAAGCUCGUAGUUGAAGUUCUGCUAAAAGUAACCGGUCUGCUUUUAAUAAAAGUGGUAUCUUGGUGUGUAUUUAGCAAUGAUGUCCUUUGAAGUGUUUUUUACUUUAUUGUAAUAAAGCAUAUUCAGGACUUUUACUUUGAGAAAAUUAGAGUGUUUCUAGCAGGCCAACGCUUUGAAUACUGCAGCUG
rnacentral:rRNA from 1 species